UACGAACUGUGCGAACGUUAUUCGGAAUCACUGGGCUUACAGGGUGCGUAGGCGGCUUAGCAAGUCAGGUGUGAAAAGCCCCCCGGCUCAACCGGGGGAACUGCGCUUGAAACUGCUGAGCUCGAGUCAGCUAGAGGUACACGGAACUUCCAGUGGAGCGGUGAAAUGUGUUGAUAUUGGAAGGAACACCGGAGGCGAAAGCGGUGUACUGGGGCUGGUCUGACGCUGAGGCACGAAAGCCAGGGGAGCGAACGGG
rnacentral:rRNA from 1 species